rnacentral:lncRNA from 1 species
AAAAAAGGUAAACAUAUAUUCCCACAAAAUAUAGCAGUCUAAGCCUCUAAACAGUACAAAUGAGGACAGUGUAGCAGUUUAUGCUCAUAAAAAGAUGAAAUCUACAUAAGAUGUUAUGAUUCCUCCGCUGCUGUUAGACUGAUUUCUUGAUUGUCCCUGUGUCUGUGAGUCACCACACUUAAGAUGCAAACUUCUGGUUGGCACUGUGUGUCUUCAUUGCCAAGGGCAGAAGGAGUAUCUGGGCCUUUCAGCUUCUACAGUGGAAGGACGCUGCCGCUGUGCAGAUGCUCACAGUACCCCAGGUAAGAAGGAUGCUUAGAUGCUGGAUUGCAAAAAAUGUACAGCUGUCUACUACAACCCCAAAUCUUU